rnacentral:rRNA from 1 species
GUCCUUUAGAAUAGAAUUUAAGGUUUAACCUGCCCACUGAUUAGUUAAAUGGCCGCAGUAAUUUGACUGUGCAAAGGUAGCAUAAUAAUUAGUUUUUUAAUUAAAAGCUUGUAUGAAUGGUUGGACGAAAUAAAUACUGUCUCUAAAUAAUAAGUAGAAUUUAAUUUUUAAGUUAAAAAGCUUAAAUAAUAGUAAAAGACAAGAAGACCCUAUAGAUCUUUAUAAUAUUUUUUAUAUAUUUAAUUAAGAUUAUUUUAUUAUUUAUAAUAAAUAUUAUUGUAUUGGGGUAAUAGAAAGAUUAAAUAAAUUCUUAUUGUAUAUGUAUAUAAAUUAAUAAGUUUAUGAUCCUUUAUUAGAGAUUAUAAGAUUAAGUUACCUUAGGGAUAACAGCGUAAUUUUUUUGAAGAGUUCAUAUCGAUAAAAAAGUUUGCGACCUCGAUGUUGGAUUAAAAAUUAUUCUAGGUGUAGUAGUUUAGAAUUUUGGUCUGUUCGACCAUUAAAUUUUUACAUGAUCUGAGUUCAGACCGGUGUAAGCCAGGUCGGUUUCUAUCUUUAUUAAAUUAGUAUAUUUUAGUACGAAAGGACCAAAUAUAGAAUAUAUUAAUAUUUUUAUUUAUGAAUUAUA